UUGGCCCGGCCCUUCCUGUGAACCUGGCACAGAAGCCACCUCCUCUCUGAAGCCUUCCUGGCUUGCCCCAGCAGCCACCAGACCUCCUGGGGGCCCCCACCAUGAAGCAGAGGCCUUUGAACCUCGCCUGCCCCAGCCAUAACCACUUGCUGGCACAACCCAAUCCCUGAGGGUUUCUUUCCCCCACGCCAGAGCUGGAGUUGGUACAGAGAGAGCAAGAGUCAAAGCACAACUGCUCAGUCUCCCCCUCACGGCUGAUGAACAUGAGUCAAAGCCGGAGGAGGCAACAGAAUUCAGAGACAAACCUCAACUUAGAGGACACUGAUGCGGAAGAACCCAGCGGCUUCCAGGGCUUACUCUGUUAAAGCGCCCGUGUCCCUACUACUAGGUCCAAGGUAUUUCUGCAUAUUGGUGUCCUCUCCAAAGGUCAAGGAGCAAGCGGUUAGGGAAAUCAGUAAGUCCUCAAAGGAGUACUGGGAGAAAUUAGCAUGGGGGCCGGACACACAGUUCAGAGAGUGGGGACAGCCAGCCAUGUGGCGAUGGGUCAUCCCUGCCUUGGGACUUUUGUUUUCUUUUCUUUUUGUUUUGUUUUGAGACAGGGUCUCGCUCUGUCACCCAGGCUGGAGUGUAGUGGUAUGAUCACAGCUCACUGCAGCCUCGACCUCCUGGGCUCAAGCGAUCCUCCCAAGUAGCUGGGACUACAGGUGUGCACCACCAUGCCUGGCUAACUUUUUAAUUUUUGGAAAGCUUGGGUCUUGCUCUUGCCCAGGCUGGCUUCAAGCCAUCCUCCCACCUCAGCUUCCCAAAAUGUUGGCAGUACAGCCUUUUCUUUCUUUUUUAAAUCAAGGUAAAACCUACACCCAGUAAAGUGCACAGAUCUUAAGUGUGCACCUCAGUGAGAUUUUGCACAAACACGUAAGUGUGUAAGGCACCAUCCAGAUCUCCAGCAGUCCCAGAAGUCUCCCUCUAGCCCGUCCCCAUGGUACCUGCCUCCAAAGGUUACUUGGUGUUCUGAUUUCUAUCACAAGUUUUUCCUGGUGUUUUGUUUUGUUUUGUUUUAUUUUGUUUAGAGACAAGGUCUUGUCACCCAGGCUGGAGUGCAGUGGUGCAGUCUCGGCUCAUUGUAGCCUCCCAGGCUCAAGCGAUCCUCCCUACUCCUCCUGAGUAGCUGGGACUACAGGCAUGUGCUACCAUGCCUGGCUAACUUUUUUUCUAAAGAUGAGAUUUCAGUUUGUUGUCCAGGCUGGUCUCAAACUUCUGGCCUCAAGUGAUCCUUCUGCCUUGGCCUCCCAAAGUGCUGGGAUUACAGAUGUGCACCACCAUGCCUGGUCCUGUUUUUUUUGUUGUUGUUGUUUUUUGUUUUGUUUGUUUUUUUUUUUUUGAGAUGAAGUUUCACUCUCGUUGCCAAGGCUGGAGUGCAAUGGCGCUAUCUUAGCUCAUCACAACCUCCGCCUCCCAAGUUCAAGUGAUUCUCCUGCCUCAGCCUCCUGAGUCCACACCUGGCUAAUUUUGUAUUUUUAGUAGAGACUGGAUUUCUCCAUGUUGGUCAGGCUGGUCUUGAACUCCCGACCUCAGGUGCUCCACCUGCCUCAGCCUCCCAAAGUUCUGGGAUUACAGGCAUGAGCCACCGCGCCCGGCAACCUGGCCCUGUUUUUAAAAAACGUCAUAUAAAUAGAAU
rnacentral:lncRNA from 1 species